AGUGAGCGCUGGCGGUAGGCCUAACACAUGCAAGUCGAACGGCAGCACAGUAAGAGCUUGCUCUUACGGGUGGCGAGUGGCGGACGGGUGAGGAAUACAUCGGAAUCUACUUUUUCGUGGGGGAUAACGUAGGGAAACUUACGCUAAUACCGCAUACGACCUACGGGUGAAAGCAGGGGAUCUUCGGACCUUGCGCGAUUGAAUGAGCCGAUGUCGGAUUAGCUAGUUGGCGGGGUAAAGGCCCACCAAGGCGACGAUCCGUAGCUGGUCUGAGAGGAUGAUCAGCCACACCGGAACUGAGACACGGUCCAGACUCCUACGGGAGGCAGCAGUGGGGAAUAUUGGACAAUGGGCGCAAGCCUGAUCCAGCCAUACCGCGUGGGUGAAGAAGGCCUUCGGGUUGUAAAGCCCUUUUGUUGGGAAAGAAAAGCAGCAGGUUAAUACCCCGCUGUUCUGACGGUACCCAAAGAAUAAGCACCGGCUAACUUCGUG
rnacentral:rRNA from 1 species